UACGAAGGGGGCUAGCGUUGCUCGGAAUCACUGGGCGUAAAGGGUGCGUAGGCGGGUUUUUAAGUCAGAGGUGAAAUCCUGGAGCUCAACUCCAGAACUGCCUUUGAUACUGAAAGUCUUGAGUAUGGGAGAGGUGAGUGGAACUGCGAGUGUAGAGGUGAAAUUCGUAGAUAUUCGCAAGAACACCAGUGGCGAAGGCGGCUCACUGGCCCAUAACUGACGCUGAGGCACGAAAGCGUGGGAGCAAACAGGG
rnacentral:rRNA from 1 species